rnacentral:rRNA from 1 species
CAGCCGCCACGGUAAUACAGAGGGUGCGAGCGUUAAUCGGAUUUACUGGGCGUAAAGCGUGCGUAGGCGGUUAUAUAAGACAGAUGUGAAAUCCCCGGGCUCAACCUGGGAACUGCAUUUGUGACUGUAUAGCUAGAGUACGGCAGAGGGGGAUGGAAUUCCGCGUGUAGCAGUGAAAUGCGUAGAUAUGCGGAGGAACACCGAUGGCGAAGGCAAUCCCCUGGGCCUGUACUGACGCUCAUGCACGAAAGCGUGGGGAGCAAACAGGAUUAGAUACCCGCGUAGUCCCUGUCUCUUAUAC